rnacentral:misc_RNA from 1 species
GAAAUGUGAUAAGUAAUGUGAAUUGCAGAAUUCAGUGAAUCAUCGAAUCUUUGAACGCACAUUGCGCCCGCCAGUAUUCUGGCGGGCAUGCCUGUUCGAGCGUCAUUUCAACCAUCAAGCCCCGCGCUUGUGUUGGGGACCUGCGGCUGCCGCAGGCCCUGAAAACCAGUGGCGGGCUCGCUGUCACACCGGGCGUAGUAGAUUUUAUCUCGCUCAGGGCGUGCUGCGGGUUCCGGCCGUUAAAAAGCCUUUUUUACCCAAGGUUGACCUCGGAUCAGGUAGGAAGACCCGCUGAACUUAAGC